rnacentral:rRNA from 1 species
UGGGGAAUAUUGGACAAUGGGCGAAAGCCUGAUCCAGCAAUGCCGCGUGUGCGACGAAGGCCUUCGGGUCGUAAAGCACUUUCAAUGGGGAGGAAAGCUAUGAAAUUAAUACCUUCGUAGUUUGACGUUAUCCAUACAAGAAGCACCGGCUAACUCUGUGCCAGCAGCCGCGGUAAUACAGAGGGUGCAAGCGUUAAUCGGAGUUACUGGGCGUAAAGCGCACGUAGGCGGAUAUAACAGUCAGAUGUGAAAUCCCUGGGCUUAACCUAGGAACUGCAUUUGAUACUAUAUAUCUAGAGUAUGGUAGAGGGAAGUGGAAUUUCCGGUGUAGCGGUGAAAUGCAUAGAUAUCGGAAGGAACAUCAGUGGCGAAGGCGACUUCCUGGACCAAUACUGACGCUGAGGUGCGAAAGCAUGGGGAGCAAACAGG